AACGAACGCUGGCGGCAGGCCUAACACAUGCAAGUCGAGCGAGCAUUUCGGUGCUAGCGGCGGACGGGUGAGUAACGCGUGUGAACGUGCCCUUUUCUGCGGAAUAGUCCUGGGAAACUGGGGGUAAUACCGCAUACGCCCUUUUGGGGAAAGAUUUAUCGGAGAAGGAUCGGCCCGCGUUGGAUUAGGUAGUUGGUGGGGUAAUGGCCCACCAAGCCGACGAUCCAUAGCUGGUUUGAGAGGAUGAUCAGCCACACUGGGACUGAGACACGGCCCAGACUCCUACGGGAGGCAGCAGUGGGGAAUCUUAGACAAUGGGGGCAACCCUGAUCUAGCCAUGCCGCGUGAGUGAUGAAGGCCUUAGGGUUGUAAAGCUCUUUCAGCUGGGAAGAUAAUGACGGUACCAGCAGAAGAAGCCCCGGCUAACUCCGUG
rnacentral:rRNA from 1 species